GUGGGGAAUCUUGCGCAAUGGGCGAAAGCCUGACGCAGCCAUGCCGCGUGGAUGAUGAAGGUCUUAGGAUUGUAAAAUCCUUUCACCGGUGAAGAUAAUGACUGUAGCCGGAGAAGAAGCCCCGGCUAACUUCGUGCCAGCAGCCGCGGUAAUACGAAGGGGGCUAGCGUUGCUCGGAUUUACUGGGCGUAAAGGGCGCGUAGGCGGACAUUUAAGUCAGGGGUGAAAUCCCGGGGCUCAACCUCGGAACUGCCUUUGAUACUGGCUGUCUUGAGUUUGGGAGAGGUGAGUGGAACUCCGAGUGUAGAGGUGAAAUUCGUAGAUAUUCGGAAGAACACCAGUGGCGAAGGCGACUCACUGGCCCAAUACUGACGCUGAGGCGCGAAAGCGUGGGGAGCAAACAGGAUUAGAUACCCGUGUAGUCC
rnacentral:rRNA from 1 species